ACCUGGGUGGCUCAGUCGGUUGAGUGUCUGACUUCGGCUCAGGUCACGAUCUCACGGUUUGUGGGUUCGAGCCCCACAUCGGGCU
rnacentral:tRNA from 1 species